UACGUAGGGUGCAAGCGUUAAUCGGAAUUACUGGGCGUAAAGCGUGCGCAGGCGGGUAUGCAAGGCAGAUGUGAAAUCCCCGGGCUCAACCUGGGAACUGCAUUUGUGACUGCAUGGCUGGAGUGCGGCAGAGGGGGAUGGAAUUCCGCGUGUAGCAGUGAAAUGCGUAGAGAUGCGGAGGAACACCGAUGGCGAAGGCAGCCCCCUGGGCUGACACUGACGCUGAGGCACGAAAGCGUGGGGAGCAAACAGG
rnacentral:rRNA from 1 species